GAUUCUGGACUGCUGUUACUGAAAUGAAAUUACAGAAGGUGGCAUUUGCAUUGCGUUUGUUGGAUGAAACCCAAAUAUUUACUUUCAGUCAAGUGGGUAAAAUCCCCUAACUGCGGUUUACAUGUGUAGGUCACUGCGUUACUGUGUUAGUCAUUGUCUCUAUGCAGCAAUGACAAGGCUAGAAGAAGCAAACAGAGAAGUGAACAUGCACUCAUCAGUCAGAUACCUUGGCUAUCUUGCCAGAAUCAACUUACUGGUUGCCAUUUGCAUGGGCCUUUACGUCAGAUGGGAAAAAACAGCAGAUGCACUGAUUUUGGUAAUAUUUAUUCUGGGGCUUUUUGUUCUUGGAAUUGCCAGCAUACUGUACUACUAUUUUUCAAUGGAAACAGCAAGUUUGAGUCUCUCCAAUCUUUGGUUUGGUUUUUUGCUUGGCCUUCUCUGUUUUCUUAAUAAUUCUGCCUUCAAAACGGAUGUGAAAGAAGAAGCUACUAAAUAUUUGCUCCUUUCUGCCAUUGUUUUAAGGAUACUAUGUGCUUUGGUUGAGAGGAUUUGUGGUUGUAUUCAUCAUCGACCGACUCUGCUGACAACAGUUGAAUUUUUGGAGCUAGUCGGAUUUGCAAUUGCCAGCACAACUAUGCUGGUAGAAAAAUCUAUGAGUAUUAUUCUGUUGGUCAUGGCUUUGGCUAUGUUGAUUAUUGACUUACGUAUGAAGUCUUUUUUGGCAAUUCCAAAUUUGGCAAUUUUUGGAGCCAUUGCAUCCUUACUCUUUUUUCCAUCACUGCAAAUCCCCACAAACCCAUUUGCCUUGGCAUGUUUCUUCAGCUGCCUGAUUUCAGAUCCCCUUCUCGAUGUUUACUUCAGUGGACUUUCAGUUACUGAACGAUGGAAGCCCUACUUGUACCGUGGUAAAAUUUGCAGAAGGCUUUCUGUCAUCUCAGUUGGAGUCAUUGAACUAAUCUUUUUCAUUCUUGCAGCCUUUAAACUACGUGAUUUGGAUCUCUGGUAUUUUGUGAUACCUGGUUUUUCUAUUUUUGGAAUUUUCUGGAUGAUUUGUCAUGUGAUUUUUUUUAUAACUCUUUGGGGAUUUCACACAAAACUAAAUGACUGUCACAAGGUGUACUAUACCCACCGUGCAGAAAACAACAGCCUUGACAGAGUUAUGGCAUCUAAAGGAAUGCGUCACUUCUGUUUAAUUUCGGAACAGCUAGUAUUUUUCAGUCUCGUCGCAACUGCUGUUUUGGGAGCCGUUUCUUGGCAGCCAACCAAUGGGAUCUUCAUGAGUGCGUUUCUCAUCGUGUUACCUCUGGAGUCCAUGGCUCAUGGGCUUUUCCAUGAACUGGGAAACUGCUUGGGAGGAACCUGCGUUGGGUAUGCAGUUGUGAUUCCCACCAACUUUUGCAGUCCUGAUGGCCAGCCAACUCUUCUUCCACCUGAGCAUGUACAAGAGUUAAAUCUGAGGUCUACUGGCAUGCUCAAUGCCAUCCAAAGAUUUUUUGCGUAUCACAUGAUUGAGACGUACGGUUGUGAUUAUUCUACAAGCGGACUGACCUUUGAUACCCUUCACUCCAAGAUCAAGUCUUUUCUUGAACUUCGGACAGCAGAUGGACCCAGACAUGAUACCUACAUUUUAUAUUACAGUGGUCACUCACAUGGCACUGGCGAAUGGGCACUGGCAGGGGGUGAUGCUUUACGACUUGACACGCUGUUGGACUGGUGGAGAGAAAAGAACAGCACUUUUUGUUCUCGACUCAUCAUCGUUUUAGACUGUGAGAACUCUCAGCCUUGGGUUAAAGAAGUAAGAAAAGUAAAUGACCAGUAUGUUGCCGUGCAAGGAGCAGAAAUGGCCAGAGUUGUAGACAUCGAGGAAGCAGACCCUCCACAGCUUGGUGACUUCACCAGGCAAUGGGUUGAGUACAACUGUAACCCCGACAGUAACAUCAGCUGGUCUGAAAAGGGACGUACAGUGAAAGCUGUGUAUGGUGUGUCAAAACACUGGAGCGACUACACUUUGCAUUUGCCAACGGGAAGCGAUGUUGCCAAGCACUGGAUGAUAUACUUCCCACGUAUCACCUAUCCUUUAGUACAUUUGGCAAACUGGUUUUGUGGUCUCAAUCUGUUCUGGGUCUGUAAAGCGUGUUUUAGGUGCUUGAAAAGACUGAAAAUGAGUUGGUUUCUUCCCACAGUCCUGGACACAGGGCAGGGUUUCAAACUCGUCAAAUCCUAAUUAGCAACCAAAGAGAAAAUGAAGCGGGAGCUCUGGGAACUUUCUCACUGUACCAUACUUAAAACUUUUUAUAUGACUAUUUUUCUCUGAAAAAGUCUGCUACACUCACUUUAUUCAGCUCUUUGAGCAGCUACAGUAUAUGCAACAGAUAGAAACUGCAAUCUUAAACAGAAGAGGGUAGGACUAUGAUAUUUGAGUUUUGUCACUGGUCUGUAUGUACAUAUGUAAGAGACUUAUUUAAUAUGACCAUGCAUUUUGGAGACAGUUCGCGUGUUCAUAUUUGUUACUUAAAGCAGCUUUCGUUCAGUCACCAGUUUGAUGGACAACAGCUCCUGUGAAUGUUAUAGCAUGCUUAUUUGUCAUUUAUAUCCACUAUAAGGUUCAAAUACAGGAAAGGAACCAAGCUAAUACUCAAAUCGAUUUAUAUGUCCUUGAAAUUAUAUGGUGGGGUCAAGGGUAUUAUAAAACAGCACUGAGCCAAAAAAAUAAAAGAGAAGAAUGAAUAGCCAUUUUAGGGGAACAGGAAAAGCGUGGGACUCCUGACCUGUCCUGGGACUGCGGGCAGACUAAAACGGAGUGUCCCUUCUGCAGCGCAGUGAUGGGCCUAGCUUUGGGCAGAACAAACGCAACAGUUGGUGCUGAUCUUUUGCCUCUGUUUAUUAAAUUGUUUCCAGCUUACUUGUCAAACUGUUAGAUUUUCUCUAGGAUAGACUGGGUGAUCUUUAGCAGUUUGCUGAAAGUUAGAUAGAGUCAGCUAAAAAUAUAACAAAAAGAUUAUUUGCAAAACUGAUGACGUGUUUGCAGAUUUGCUUCAGUUUUCUCAAUUAAAGGACUCUAGUUUUCUGAAUCUGAAAUAGUUUUAACAUCAGCUAAGGUAUUCCUACUUUUGAUUUUAUUGUUUUUUUAAAUAGCAAAGGCAUGGUAAAAAUGCUGAUUUAAACUAGAAGAGAUGUUUACAGCCAUUCAAAACUGUGAGGCCUUUUUGGACAAAGAGACUGUCUUGUGUGUUUCAAAACACAGUAAAACCCAGGGUGUGGGAUGAUGAGCCUCAGGAAUUCAACAGUAUUAAUUCCCUGCUUCUACACCAACUGAUAUCAAGGCGUCCUACCGUGACCCACGUUCCCAGGUGGAGGUGGAGUUCUCCGGCUCCUGGCACUCGUGCACCUCCGCGGUCUCUGCCCAGCCCCGUGCGCACGCCUGAGGGACAACACACCAGGAGCUCCUAAUCCCAGUGAGAAGUGAGGAUUUAUCCCUCCGCUGUUCCCCGUAUGAAAUACACGGGCAACACCUGAAAGAGAAAUUGAAAUCUAAUUCCAAAGAAUGUUACGUAUGCUGUCGGUUACAUACAAGUUGUUUUUCUUUAGCAGUGACAUGCUUAUGAAUUAAUUGUCUGGAUGGAGAAAAUCUAACUUUUUUUUAGAGGCUUGUCUCUGUACUGUAUAUUCAGGCAUUUUGUUAUAAAGGUUGUUAUAAAUUUAUAUCAUGACAGUAAUUUUAUGUUGACUUUGUUUCAUUUACCUCCUGUAUAGUAUCAGCCUUGCUGAAACAUGCACAUGCACGAAGUCCUACAAACCUAAGUCUUUAAAAGGAAUUCAAAUUGCAAAUUCACAGUAGUGUUUUUCUCUGAACAAGUAUUGGAGAAAAAAGCCAUUCUUCUUCAUUUUUGUACUACCAGAGUUACGUAUUUGCAGUUCCUUAUGCUUUGUAUGCCUUGUGAUUGUUGUUGUCCAGCCUUCAGUUCAAGUUUUUCCCAGAAAUAAUUUCUUCACCUUUAUUAAGUUUUCCCUUUCUUUUGCAAAGGCAUAAUUUAACGCUAUGCUAGCUGUAAAGCACCUCUGUUGCCAGCAGCAGACAAUGUAACUGGGUCAAAUUUCUUGUUUAUAAAUACUUUUUUGUGGGAGGAUUCUUACUGGAUGUACCAAUUUUAGAUCUGUAAAUAGAUUUUUUUUUUGGUGUAUUUGUGAUAUUGCUUAAAUAUAUUUUGCCGUUUUGGAUGCUCAUUUCCAUUUCAUGUUUUUGUUUAUGCCUUGAUCUCUUCCAAAAUUUCUGUGUUCCCUCUUGAAUUACAUGGGGUUUUUCU